GAUGAAGAACGCAGCGAAAUGCGAUAAGUAAUGCGAAUUGCAGAAUUCAGUGAAUCAUCGAAUCUUUGAACGCACAUUGCGCCCGCCAGUAUUCUGGCGGGCAUGCCUGUUCGAGCGUCAUUUCAACCAUCAAGCCCCCGGCUUGUGUUGGGGACCUGCGGCUGCCGCAGGCCCUGAAAACCAGUGGCGGGCUCGCUAGUCACUCCGAGCGUAGUAAUACAUCUCGCUCAGGGCGUGCUGCGGGUUCCGGCCGUUAAAAAGCCUUAUUUACCCAAGGUUGACCUCGGAUCAGGUAGGAAGACCCGCUGAACUUAAGCAUAUCAAUAAGCGGAGGA
rnacentral:misc_RNA from 1 species